GGUAACUGUUGAACCUGGAUCCCCACAUCAGAUUGUCCAUAUAGGCUAUACUUGGCCACAUAUCCGUUGGGACCAGCUUCCACAUCAGGAGCAAUCUGUUCAACAACCUCAUCCCGCGUUGAGCCGUCAAGAUCAAUCCUACAAUAUGGAAGCCACUUGCUUGUGUUUACUGAAUUAUCUGUUAUUAUCCACUAUUUGUUUACCUCAGGGAAUAAUUAUUCUCAGAUGGCACCAGCACAACUCCAUUAUCGUUAAUGGGCGGCACGAACUUGGUAACUGAAGCUGUGGGUGCCGAAUUCACCAGACUCACAAGCAGAGCCAAAAUCACCUGUAGCAAAUAUUAUACAACGAUUGGCAGGCAAACUUUUGCAACGAACUCACUGAGCUUAACAUAAAGUGAGCCAUGAUGAUCUUUUGGCGGUUGGUUAGCGACUAAAGGUCUUAAAUGCCUCACAGCUGGCAGCUGGCAAAUAAACACUAACUUAAAACACGUCUAAAACUGGAAUCAUUCUCCGCUUAUAUAGUAUAAAAUGUGAUUUUUGAAUACUGUCAAUAAUGGUUAACAUAAGAAAACAAUAAAAGCACCCACAGUGAAUCAUUGACCAAGAAA